UGUUUUUUUUAAUCACUUGAAUUUUUUUUUGUAUUUUGCAGAAUAAAUUGAACAAAAUUCUUCUUUAUCUAUCUAACAAGAUGAAGAACUCAGCUACUACAACAAAAGAAAGAAAAUUGGAGAAGACGAAGUCCCAUGCUGUUUUCAUCAUGGUAACAAAAUUUCCGGAUCGGUAAUCUACUUGGUGGCUAAAAAAGAUGCUUGCAACACAUUUGUUUCUCUUCGGAAAGAUUAAAAACAAAACAAGAUAGAACUGUUUGCGGGAAACAAAAUUAGAGAAGAGAAAGUGCAGUGAAAAUUUAAACUUUUCUAUGAUUUUAAAAUAGAAAUUUCGGUUUUGUAUAGAGGGGAAUGAGUGAAAAAGAACCAUGGCUUUAUUUUAGGUGUGAUGGUAAGAAAUGGUUUAAAAUUUAGAGGAACGGUGGUGGUUGUUGUCGAUCAGCAAGAGGAAAACACGCAUGGAGGGAGAGAUAGAGAGAGGAAGCGAGGAAGUGAUUGGGGGUGGCUGCUAGGGUUAGAGAAAACUGAGUUUGA